rnacentral:ribozyme from 1 species
ACUGAUGGGUAGGGGUGAGUACUCCCCCUAUUAAAGUACAUUACAGGUCCAAAGUCCUG